rnacentral:rRNA from 1 species
AUACGUAGGUGACAAGCGUUAUCCGGAUUUACUGGGCGUAAAGGGCGUGUAGGCGGUCUUGCAAGUCAGAAGUGAAAUUCCUGAGCUCAACUCGGGCGCUGCUUCUGAAACUGCAGGACUUGAGUGCUGGAGGGGAUAGCGGAAUUCCUAGUGGAGCGGUAAAAUGCGCAGAUAUUAGGAAGAACACCGGUGGCGAAGGCGGUUUUCGGGACAGUAACUGUGGUGGAGGCGUGAAUGCGUGGGGUCAAGUCAGGAUUGAAUACCCGGGUACUCCACGCCGUAUACGAUGAAUACUAGGUGUAGGGGGUAUCGACUCCCUCUGUUCCGCAGGUAACACAAUUAGUAUUCCGCCUGGGGGGUACGGUCGCAAGGUUGAAGCUCAAAUGAAUUGACGGGG